UACGUAGGGUGCGAGCGUUAAUCGGAAUUACUGGGCGUAAAGCGUGCGCAGGCGGUGGCUCAAGCCAGGCGUGAAAUCCCCGGGCUUAACCUGGGAAUGGCGUUUGGGACUGGGUCGCUAGAGUGUGGCAGAGGGAGGUGGAAUUCCACGUGUAGCAGUGAAAUGCGUAGAGAUGUGGAGGAACACCGAUGGCGAAGGCAGCCUCCUGGGCCAGCACUGACGCUCAUGCACGAAAGCGUGGGGAGCGAACAGG
rnacentral:rRNA from 1 species